CAGGACUCAGCGCGCUUCUCACUUCCCUCCAGUCCUCUCAACCAAGAACAAGGCAGAGUGGAACGGAGGACAGUGCCUGGCAGAUAGAAAGCAGAUAUAAAGUCAAGUCUCGAGUCUGUUCCACAUGGCCGCAGAUAGUGUUCCAAACAGCAAAGACUCUAGAGAAGAAAAAUACCAUCAAGUCAUUUAGUCAGCUGGACGGCAGGACCGGGUGUCUUGGAAGUCCUAGCCCUGAGGAAGAUUUGAGGUUAUGCAGCUUUCAAGAGGAAGAUGUUUCAGGAUACUUACUUCUGAUCUCAUGGCGGGGCAUCACACCAGACCCAUUACAUGCAUGCUGGGAGAACAGAGCAACCUUCAAUCCCUAUACACGGGCUACUUAACCCUCUUG
rnacentral:lncRNA from 1 species